GAUGCUAAUACCGGAUAACAACAGAUGAUGCCUAUCAACUGUUUAAAAGAUGGUUCUGCUAUCACUCUUGGAUGGACCUGCGGUGCAUUAGCUAGUUGGUAGGGUAACGGCCUACCAAGGCGAUGAUGCAUAGCCGAGUUGAGAGACUGAUCGGCCACAUUGGGACUGAGACACGGCCCAAACUCCUACGGGAGGCAGCAGAC
rnacentral:rRNA from 1 species